CCCUUAGUAACGGCGAGUGAAACGGGCUGAGUCCAGCAUCGAACUGCCGGCCAUCUCGGUCGCGCGGCAUGUGAUGUUCGGGAGAGCCUCCUCGUAUUGAGCCGGAGCGUUCAAGUGCACCUUGACUGGGACCAUGGCCCGUAGAGGGUGAUAGGCCCGUAAGACCUCUGGCUUGAUGCGCUGGCUUUUCCCUAGAGUCGAGUUGUUUGGGAGUACAGCUCAAAGUGCGUGGUAAACUCCACGUAAGACUAAAUAUGAUCCCGAGACCGAUAGCGAACAAGUACCGUGAGGGAAAGUUGAAAAGGACUUUGAAGAGAGAGUUCAAGAGUACGUGAAACUGUAUAGUAGUAAACGGAGGGGCUCUCGAAGUCGGCGGUGACGGUUCAGGGUGACGGCGGGGUGGCCUGGGGGUCAGGGACCAGCAAUGGCCCGGCCUCUUUGUUGGCCUCGUCGGCGCCUGCACUUCGUUGCUGCUUCACGCGACGAACCGUUUUCGGCGGUCCAAGGGCUUGGGUGAAGUUUGUAGGCCUCGGCUUGCAAGCCCC
rnacentral:rRNA from 1 species